CGCUUAACCGACUGCGCCACCCAGGCGCCCCAUAAAAUAGAAAUUUUAAAUGAGGUGAAACAAAAUAGUUUAAAAAUAUUAAUGAUUAAGAUGUUGAUAUCCAGUGUUUCUAAGGAAAGCAAUGAACACCUGGUCAUUUCAAAUAUGGCUUUAAGAUUGUGAUUCAGUAAUGCAGUAAUGUUAGCUUCCAAGUUCAGCCCACUUUGUUGGUUUUAUUAUUAUUUUUUUUUAUGUUUAUUUUUUGAGAGACAGCACACACAAGCAGGGGAAGGGCAGAGAGAGGGGGAGAGAAGAUCUGAAGCAGGCUCUGCACUGAAGCAGAGAGCCCAACACGAGGCUCAAACUCACGAACCGUGAGAUCAUGACCUGAGCCUAAAUUGGACGCUUAACUGACUGAGCCACCCGGGCGCCCCUGGUUGUCGGUUUUAAUGCAGUGUCGAGGGUGGAAAAAAGAUGGCUUCCAAAUUCUAAGUGGAGGAAGGGCACUGCUGGUCACAUUAAGUCAUGAUGCUCGUUAAUUCACUUUUAUUCACCGAUUAUGCAAAGGUGUUUGUUGAAAUCCGGCUAGUAAAUUUCCAUUCCAUCUUCUCUCAUGGCAGACUAAUGCAAACUAAUUGAAACAUGUUACAAAUUUUAUGUUUUUUAACCAAGGACUUUAAAGCACUCAAACUCUUCACUUGGAAAGUUUUGAGCAAGUUAUAAAAGCAUCUCCAAGACUGUUUGAGCAACGUUUACAUGGUUCUUGGCCAAGAGCUGACCUAAGCCCGGCAACACUUCCAAACAUCCUUUUCUGAAAGGCCCUUUCCACAGGACUUGUCUGUAGUCUUGCCUUGGUUCCCCCACUUGGAGCCCACUGCCCUCAGUAAUGGUGCAAGGGUGGAGUAGGUUCUGGUGUGCAACUCUGUAGCUAGCUGCCUGCUCUCCUGCCUGCUGCCUGCUGUAGACACAUGGUCUCACUGCCCGCCCCUUUCCCGCAGCCCCUCGGGAUCCCAGAGGUUGUGGAGGGGAGCAGAGAGGAGCUGAAUGGCGAGCAUUAAAAAUAGCGCCAGUGACUCACCGCACUUUAUUGCCGCAGUGCCCUUUCCUCAGAACCACCAAGAUAGCCUGGACAAUCUGACAGGGUGAGGGGGAACAACUUUCUGACAAUCUUUCGCCCGGUCGGAUUCCUCUGCUUUUCCUCACCCUUCUGGCUAUUUCCUUCUGCCACUGUCUUUGUCUUAUUCCAUAUUUAGAUCUAUGUUGACCAAUUUCUGUGUUGACCGACUUUGGGUGUCUUCUUCCCGCUCCCGUUGACAUCUCUUAUUCCUAAAACCCUGUGUUUCUCAUUUCUUCCAACUAUUGGAGAAGCUGACUCUGAUUACUGUUCAACUCUGGCUUUGGCUCUCAGCACCCUCCAGGAUGACAUCCCGAGGCGCCAUCUUGAGGAAUCUGCAGAUGAUGACGUAGCAUAUGAGGGAAGUAGAGGCAAGCUUGCUUGAGGUGGGGGUGGGGGGGUCUGUUUAAUGUCAUCAAAUGUCUGCCCACCUUAGGUCUUCCUGUACUUGCUACCAAGGAUAUGACAUGAUCCAUUUUCCUUCCUUUGAGGUACAUGGCAGUCAACUUUAUUGCUAAGUUUCAUAUGCUCCAAUCAUCUAAAUGGCUUGGUUAUUAGAAAGGACAAAAGGAACUUUUUCACUCGGGAUCCUUCUCUUUUCCCCCAUAUGCUUCUGUGAUCAUUCCCAGGAUCACUUUCAUCUGCUGUCUUCCCACAGUGAAGACAAUUGGACCGGCCUGCCUCUCAGGCCCCACCUCUGCAACCCUGAUACCUCCCUUGCUUGCCUACCUUCACUCUUCCCAGCAAAUGGUUGUGGUUUCCCCUCCUAUGGUCACUCUGAUUAAGGUCCUGGGACGACAAGGUAAGUGUCUGCCAUCACUGAGCUUUUGUUUAGCUGGGGAGAUAGGUAAUUAAAAUAAAUAAAAAUCGAUUACGGCGUGGCAGCUGCCCACAUAGAGUGGUCAGAGUAGGCUCCGCUGAGGAGCUGGUAUUCAAGGUGAGAUCUAGAGGGUCCGAAAAGGACGGAGCUGAGGAGCAGGUGGGUGAGAGUGUUCUGGGCAGCUUGAUGUUAGAAGAUGGAAGAGUACUUUCCAAACGAUACAGAAUUCUCUCCUAACCUUGCAUCUUGUACCAAGAGAUCUCUUUCUUAAAAUCCCAACACACUUUUUUUUUUUUAAGUUUAUUUAUUUUGAGAGAGAGUACAAAUGUGUACAGGUACACCCACAUGCAUGGGGGAAGGGCAAAGAGAGAGGGAGGAAGAGAGAGAGAGAAUCCCAAGCAGGCUUCACGCUGUCAGUGCAGAGCCUCAUGCAGGGUUUGACUGAACCCACAGACCAUGAGGUCAUGACCUGAGCAGAAACCAAGUUGGACGCUUAACCGACUGAGCCACCCAGGUGCCCCCCAACACCCUUUGAAUACCACCUCUUUUUCAGAUGGCAAGGAAAUACCAAUAUUUUUCAAGAUAAAAAUCCCAUUACUCUGUAGUCCCAUAAAGAUAAAUGAUAAAAUAUUGGUCCCAUCCACUGGCUGUUUCAAGUGCCCCAGGGGGAUCUGCUAUUCUUGACUUUGCAUUGAGCUACAAGGAGGAAUGAAUUGGUGAAAUGGCAUCGCGAUGGACGCCUACCUGACAGAGUGACCUCUUUAUUUCAGUUCGUGCUCAUCUCAUUGCAGAUCUCACAGCCUGUGGACACGGCCAUAUUGGCUUCAUGCCGGGAUGAUCAGCAAGGGGAAACUCGUGGGGAGAAGACACUCCUUAGAGUCAGGUGUGAUUUCAUGGCAUGAAAGCCCCAAAGGGAAGGUGAAUCAAGAGGCUGUGGAACUCUCCAAAGACGCCAUCGAAGACCUGAGCUGGAGACCACGCCAAACAAUUCCACGGCAAAUCCAGCCGGCACUCUGGGACUGUGCUGUGCGAUCCAGGCACCACUGGCCACGUGUGCAGACUGAGCACUUGAAACGUAGCUACUGUGCAUGGAGAUAAGUAUAAAAUACACAGCGGACUUCGGGCGCUCAGCAUAAAAAGAGAAUGUAAAAUGUCUCAUAAUGUUUAUAUUGAUCACAUUUUGAAAUGAUGCUAUUUUUUAUAUACGGGGUUAAAUAAAAUAUAUUAAA